AGUGAACGCUGGCGGUAGGCCUAACACAUGCCAGUCGAACGGCAGCACAGUAAGAGCUUGCUCUUACGGGUGGCGAGUGGCGGACGGGUGAGGAAUACAUCGGAAUCUACUUUUUCGUGGGGGAUAACGUAGGGAAACUUACGCUAAUACCGCAUACGACCUACGGGUGAAAGCAGGGGAUCUUCGGACCUUGCGCGAUUGAAUGAGCCGAUGUCGGAUUAGCUAGUUGGCGGGGUAAAGGCCCACCAAGGCGACGAUCCGUAGCUGGUAUGAGAGGAUGAUCACCCACACUGGAACUGAGACACGGUCCAGACUCCUACGGGAGGCAGCAGUGGGGAAUAUUGGACAAUGGGCGCAAGCCUGAUCCAGCCAUACCGCGUGGGUGAAGAAGGCCUUCGGGUUGUAAAGCCCUUUUGUUGGGAAAGAAAAGCAGCAGGUUAAUACCCCGCUGUUCUGACGUUACCCAAAGAAUAAGCACCGGCUAACUUCGUG
rnacentral:rRNA from 1 species